UACGUAGGGUCCGAGCGUUGUCCGGAAUUACUGGGCGUAAAGCGCACGUAGGCGGAUAUUUAAGUCAGGGGUGAAAUCCCAGAGCUCAACUCUGGAACUGCCUUUGAUACUGGGUAUCUUGAGUAUGGAAGAGGUAAGUGGAAUUCCGAGUGUAGAGGUGAAAUUCGUAGAUAUUCGGAGGAACACCAGUGGCGAAGGCGGCUUACUGGUCCAUUACUGACGCUGAGGUGCGAAAGCGUGGGGAGCAAACAGG
rnacentral:rRNA from 1 species